rnacentral:rRNA from 1 species
UACGUAGGGUGCGAGCGUUGUCCGGAAUUAUUGGGCGUAAAGAGCUUGUAGGCGGUUUGUCGCGUCUGCCGUGAAAAUUCGAGGCUCAACCUCGAACUUGCGGUGGGUACGGGCAGACUAGAGUGUGGUAGGGGGGACUGGAAUUCCUGGUGUAGCGGUGAAAUGCGCAGAUAUCAGGAGGAACACCGAUGGCGAAGGCAGGUCUCUGGGCCACUACUGACGCUGAGAAGCGAAGGCAUGGGGAGCGAACAGG